AUUUCCUUGGUCCUGCAAACUCUGUGCCUCAUGGAAAGAGGCAUGGCAGGAGAAGGGCCAGGACAGCUCUCUCCAGAAGUCCUCUUCCCACGUGGAGCCCUGUCAACCUCUCUGUUAACCACACUUCAUCUUUUCCCUGCAGUUUCAAGUGCAGUAUACUGAGCUCUUCUUAACACAUCCAAAAUUAAACACAGUAUUUUAUUGUGAGUUCCUGGGGGUUUGGCCAGGUUGUCUCAGAGCUCUUCUGAAAGUUCUGGAUAUGUGGGAGCAGCCUUGUAUAUUUCCUUAACCAGUAUCUGGGUCCUGAUUCUUGGCUCUCCAUUCUCGCCUUCAAGUUCUUCCGAGUAUGCCAGAGACCAGCUGCAGCCAGGGUACCAUGCAGAAACCGUUCACACUGUGGUCAUUCCUGCAUCGCAUCCCGGGAUCCAUCUGACACGUUAGGAAGGAAGCCAUGGGAGCUGAGCUCGCCAGCUUUCUCUCUGACACGCUGAUAGAGCUUUUCCUCCUGCCUUCCUCGUAGAUGUCCUCUCUGCAGCAAAUGGAAAAACUGAGGCUUGUUGAGGUUAAGUGGCAAGCAAGAAUUCAACCCUGGGAUGGAGUAUAGAGUUGAAGCUUGUUUGUGGUGCUACCACACACCGCCUCUGACCUUGCAUCCGGAGGUAAGUCCCUUGAGAGCAGGGACUUUAUAGUCUUAGGAGUGUGUCUUGCUCCUCUCUCUAUCCCUAGUGCACCCACACAAGUGAGCACACAGCACCACUGCGUAUUUGUUGGUUAACAUGAUGAACGCGUAUACUUACUGCUCAGCAGUGAAUGAGCUCACUAUGGCCACCACUUACCCCAUCCACCAUGCAACUGUGCUGCCAAUAGAAAUCAUUCCAUCACUUUCUGGGGUCUCUCCGUCCUCUGUGUUUACACACUGGAGCAUGAUCCUCCCAGCGACUGACAGCUGCUGAGUGAGAUCAUUAAGGCUUCAGAACUGAAACGCCAAACCCUGGGGUUGGAGGCUACAGUCACCUGAGUACCUUGAGGACUUCAGCUCAUCUUCAUCACAACCAGACGAUUUGAACUCUGCACAUGGGCAAGAAAAGGCAGCAGCUACCGAGAAGCCUUUGCAGCCGUGCAGUGGGGGUGGGGCAGGAGCAUCUGCAGUUGCCAGACCCCUCAGACCUGUUUGCUCCCCUGGUCUCUCCAAGACUGCCUGGAAUCCUUGCGACCCAGAAUCAUUGUCUCCCCAUGUGGUGAUUCUGGGGAAUCAGCUGAUGGAAGCAGAGGGCAGGGGGGCUGUUCCACAUCAAUGACAAAGCUUCCAGAGGCCAUUGUGAUGUUGCAAGAUUCAACAGCCCACACCCUGGUGUUUGCUGACAGCAUCAUCUCUUUUCCCUCUGUCCAAUAAGUGGUCCCCCUUCUCACUUUCUCUCAAGUCUUUCAGAUCCAACUAAUCAGAUUUUUUUUCCCCUGAGGAAGAUUUGCCCUGAGCUAACAUCUGUGCCAAUCUUUCUCUAUUUUGUAUGUGGGUCACCACCACAGCAUGGCUGUCAAUGAGUGGUAUGGUUCCGUGCCUGGGAACCAAACUCUGGCCAUUGAAGCAAAGCGCACCUAACUUAACCACCAGGCCACGGGGCCAGGCUUGGAUCCAGCUAAUCAAUCAGAUCUUAAAUGAAUGCUAAGUCCUCUGCCUUGGCAUUAACAGUUUAUAAAAUGAUGUUUAGUCUGAGACACAGGCAUGCACACAAACCAUCCCCAUAGAGCCAGCAGGUUUGACAGCCCAGGUGUGUUUCAGAGGCUUUGGGAGCCCAGAGGCAGGAAAAAUAGCAACCAUAACAACAAACCCAAAAUGAAAGAGGUGUUGAUGAUGUUGGAGGUAAUGUUGAUGACUGUAGUAGUCUCUGGUCCUUGAGUGCUUCUUUCAUCCUAACAACGUGGCCUCUGCCCUGAAUGUCUUUAAGCCUUUUGUGAUCUGGAGCUCAGGGCAAACAUGAACUUCCUGAUGUGCUGCAUCCCAAGUUUCCCCAACCCCAUGUUCAUUCACUGGGAGUGGUAGUGAUGCAGGCUCAGUGAGCUGAGCAGUCGAAAGAAAGAUUUCUUGGACUCUCAAGGUCUGGCACUAGUGCUCUUUUAUUCAGAGAAUAGCACGGAGCAGCAUGGGGACAGGACCCAUGGGCAGUAAAGAGCUGCAACAUGGGGACAGGACCCAUGGGUAGCAAGGAGCUGCAGCAUGGAGACAGGACCCACGGGCAGUGAAGAGCUGCGAUGGGUUGAGGGUUAGGGCUAAACUUAUAAGGCAUAGGUAUGUGAGUUAUUUCUUUACAAGACAAAGGGAAGAUCAUGUAAAAAAAAAAAAAAGUCGUUAAAAUGGUAUCAGAGCAGCUGGAGUCUGGUUAUUGGGUGGCCCUAUAACUUUGGAUAAAAAUCAGAUCAGAUCAAGUCAGGAUGUCCUAUGCUUCCCAGAAGAUGAUAUAGAUGAGUAUGGAGGGCAGACAUCUUGGGGUUCUCUUCCCGGGGCAGCCUUGAUCCUCAUCAGUAGGACUGCCAGGGACUUGCCCACUGUGGCAGAGAUUGCUAGUUCUCAUCAGUGUCCAUGCUUCUCUUUCUCCUGGAUACAAGCCUAGACUUGAGAUUAGGAGAGGCCAGGUGCUGAGUCCUGGCAUGUGUGCGG
rnacentral:lncRNA from 1 species